CACGUAGGGUGCGAGCGUUGUCCGGAAUUAUUGGGCGUAAAGAGCUCGUAGGCGGUGUGUCGCGUCGGCCGUGAAAACUUGCAGCUUAACUGUGGGCGUGCGGUCGAUACGGGCAUCACUGGAGUUCGGCAGGGGAGACUGGAAUUCCUGGUGUAGCGGUGAAAUGCGCAGAUAUCAGGAGGAACACCGGUGGCGAAGGCGGGUCUCUGGGCAGUAACUGACGCUGAGAAGCGAAAGCGUGGGGAGCGAACAGG
rnacentral:rRNA from 1 species